rnacentral:rRNA from 1 species
GACGUAGGGCGCGAGCGUUGUCCGGAUUUAUUGGGCGUAAAGAGCUCGUAGGCGGCUUGUCGCGUCGACUGUGAAAACCCGCGGCUCAACCUCGGGUCUGCAGUCGAUACGAGCAAACUAGAGUGUUGCAGGGGAGACUGGAAUUCCUGGUGUAGCGGUGAAAUGCGCAGAUAUCAGGAGGAACACCGGUGGCGAAGGCGGGUCUCUGGGACGUUACUGACGCUGAGACGCGAAAGCGUGGGGAGCAAACAGG